UUUUAUUACAUUAUUUGUUUAUUGAUGUUUUGUAUUCUUAGCAGUGGGUGCAGGCCAAGGCCGGACUGUCUCCUGAACUCGCCGUUUAACAGAUCCGGAGAUUGGAGGGAUGAGAGAGUGGGCAGAGCUGGUUAAGGGCGACUGACCCGGAGACAGAGAGCUGCCGAAGCGCCUCCCCUUCCCCCAGGCGAUCCUUCUCCAUCUUGAGGCGCUCCCUCUCCACCUGCAGGCGCUCUGUCUCCACCCUCAAGCGCUCUCUAUCCAGCUGGAGCCGGUUCUUCUCCACAUCCAGGAUUUGUUGGAGAAGAUUGGCUUGGGGGCCUUGUGGUGUCCAGCCAGAUGUGAUGGGUUGGGGUGUAGAGUCAGAGUGGAUGGAAUGAGCUGGUGCAGGACAGGAGGUGAUGGGUUGGGGAGCAAAGCCAGAGUGGAUGGAAUGAGCUGGUGCAGGACAGGAGGUGAUGGGUUGGGGAACAAAGCCAGAGUGGAUGGAAUGAGCUGGUGCAGGACAGGAGGUGAUGGGUUGGGGUGCGGUGCCAGAGAGUGCAUCUGCAUUGCUCACUCUUUGGGGUUUCAGGCUGGGUAUCUGUAAAGCACUCUGUGACAACUGCUGAUGUAAAAAGGGCUUUAUAAAAUAAAUUUGAUUCAUUGAUUGAGAGUGGAUUGAGUGAGCUGGUGCAGGACGAGAGGUGAUGGGUUGGGGUGUAGAGCCAGAGUGGAUUGAGUGAGCUGGUGCAGGACGGGAGGUGAUGGGUUGGGGUGUAGAGCCAGAGUGGAUUGAGUGAGCUGGUGCAGGACGGGAGGUGAUGGGUUGGGGUGUAGAGCCAGAGUGGAUUGAGUGAGCUGGUGCAGGACGGGAGGUGAUGGGUUGGGGAGCAGAGCCAGAGUGAGCUGGUGCAGGACAGGAGGUGAUGGGUUGGGGUGGCACUGUUGGUGCUGGCCAAGGUGUUGAUGGUGAGGUGGAGGGUAGCUCCUCCAUGGUGACAGAGGGUAAAGCUGACUCCACAGUUCCCUCUGCUGCUGGUGGGGGACCAGAGCUGGAGAUUUCUCCCUGAGAGAGACCUGGACAAGAGGAUUCUGUCAAUAUUAUUUCAAAUAUUUUAUAUUAUUUAUCACUUCUUGUUGAAAUUAUUUCCUUUAAAAUGUCAUGUUUUCUGUUAGUAUGGCAUUAUGCUUUUUCAUUCAAAUAAAGAACACACAUUGGUCUCUGAUGAGUAGCCUUACACACGUCUGCAGCGAUACGCAGCUAACAAUGACUAUACAUUUAUGGGCGGAUCUGUUUGACUGAAACAAAAAAAAUAUCACAACAUCCUGAAUUGUUCUGAAAUGUAAUACACAAAAAAAAUGUCUGUUGGGGGAAAGAUGUUUGGUACAUUGUUCAAAACUAAUAAAAAUGUGGGGAUGUGGCUGAACUUUUGGGCCCAGAACCAGGCCUCCUCUAUGACACUAAUCUUCGGUCUGUAGACGCUACCAAGCAGGAAGUGAUGUAAUUUGAAGCUUUACUGCAUGUUCUGUAAUAUGAGUCAUAUUUACAUUUCAAAAACAACCGUUUGAUUAAUAACAUUGUAAACAUGCUGAUCAAGAAGCUAAAAUUUCAAAUUUUAUUUUUCUACAGAAAGAGAUCGUGCAUUUCUCGAAGCAGUGGGAAGCAGAUUAUUCAGUCAACCUUUUUAUCCGUUCUUGAUUAUGGCAAUAUUAUUUAUUGAAGUGCAGAUACUACUCUUGGACGCCAUCUACCAUAGCGCCCUUCGUUUUGUUACACGUGACAGUUUUGAUACUCAUCACAGUAUAAUCAAUUCUUAUUUACAAUUCUUAUUUACAAUGAAGGCCAAACCUGAACGACCCUGGGCCAAUUGUGAGCCGCCCUAUGGGACGCUCAAUCACAGCCGGUUGUGAUACAGCCUGGAUUCUGCGCCAUUCCGGAGCCCAACAUCAGUCAACACCUCUCAGAACAAGCCAUGGUAUUAAGAACAAGAUAAAAACGAGCAAUUUACGAUUCACCACAUGGCAGUUUCUUGUCAUUGUUGCUAACUAUCUGGCCAUCCAGAACAACAGCCUUCUGCAAACUUCGUUUUCGUGACGUUGUCAACUUACCCGUCUAUAUAAACAACGCUUUACGAGCUGAGCACAAUGGUCUUACAGAACGUAAAAUAAGGUCUUCGGCUAUUAGUCCAUUUUUGAUUUUGUUGUAAUUAAAAAAACAUUUAAGACAGUGACGUUUCCGAAAUUUCUGGGGUUCUCUUUCAGAUAGUGCGGGGUGGGUGCUAAGUCGUGCCUUCUGUUAAGUAAAGGAGGCUGGAGCACCACUGUGUGAGAAGAAAGGAAAAACAUACAGUUGAGUAGUAAGACGUUCUGUUUUUCCGUCUCUUCUUUUAGGGGAUCUAUGGUGAAGAAGACAAAUGU